AAAGUUUGACAUUGACGAUUAAAUAUUGAUGUUAUUAUUUUGGAUGGAGGAAGGAAAAUGAAUUUGUUUAAUUGCCCGAUGGAUGGGUUGUGUGUAUUGAUUGAAAAAUACUUAGUGUUAUUGGGAUAUUUAAGCAGGUUGAUAGUCCCAUUUUUAGGGGAGGUGCUUCCGAAAUUUCGAUAGAACCUAGACUAGUUUUAAUUAAUAAUAUAAUUAACAAAUUUAUUUAGAUUAAUUCUAUAACUCAAUACAUAAUAAAUAGAGUGCUCUAAUUAUUUAAUGAUUAUCAUCAUUAUUCAUUUAAUUAUUCGAUUAAUUAUUUAUUUUCAUCAUUAUGUUUAUUAUUAUUAUUUAUUUUAUCGUUGUCGUUUAUUGUUGAUAUUAUUUAUUUAUUUAUUUGCAUUUGAGUAUGAAUGUCUAAUUGAGCAUUGCAUUUCGAUGUUUAACUGAUCAACAUGUCUGUAUUUAAUUGCAAUACUUGAUUAAUUGUGUUGUAAUAUUACUGUGCUUUGUUUGUGUGGAAUUGGGAUGAAGUGGGUCACCAUGGGUUUGUGAGGACGAUCAAUAAAGCAUGGAUCCUGAUUAUGAUGAAUUAUGAAAUUGGACCGUCGGCCGGGAAAAUGGGAGAUCGGCGCCCCCGUGUGCACCUACCGUUAC
rnacentral:lncRNA from 1 species